CUGGGAAUUUUGCGCAAUGGCCGAAAGGCUGACGCAGCGACGCCGCGUGAGGGAGGAAGGCCUUCGGGUCGUAAACCUCUUUUAGCAGGGACGAAACAAAUGACGGUACCUGCAGAAAAAGCACCUGCUAACUACGUGCCAGCAGCAGCGGUAAUACGUAGGGUGCGAGCGUUAGUCGGAUUCACUGGGCGUAAAGGGCGCGUAGGCGGUUCGUUAAGUCAGAUGUGAAAUCCCCCGACUCAAUCGGGGAAGUGCAUUUGAUACUGGCGGACUAGAGUAUAGGAGAGGAAGAUGGAAUUCCUGGUGUAGAGGUGAAAUUCGUAGAUAUCAGGAGGAACAACAGAGGCGAAGGCGAUCUUCUGGACUAUUACUGACGCUGAGGCGCGAAAGUGUGGGGAGCAAACA
rnacentral:rRNA from 1 species